UGGUAUCCGGGGUGGUUGCUAAGGUGUUGCUAGGCGGUUGCUAGGCGGUUUCUAAGGUGUUGCUAUGGUGUCUGUGGUGGUUGCUAAGGUGUUACUAGGUGGUUGCUAAGAUGUUGCUAUGGUAUCUGGGGUGGUUGCUAAGGUGUUGCUAGGUGUAUCUGACUGGUCGCUAGGCAGUUGCUACCAUUUCUAAAGUGGUUGCUAAGCAGUUGCUAACGUUUUCCAGGUGGUUGCUAAGGUGUUGCUAUCUGGUUGCUAGGCAGUUGCUAACGUAUUACACAUGGUUGCUAAGUGGUUGCUAGGCAGUUGCUAAUGUUUUCCAGGUGGUUGCUAAGAUGUUGUUCAGUGGUUGCUAGGCAGUUGCUAUGAUUUCUAAAGUGGUUGCUAGGCAGUUGCUAACGUUUUCCUAGUGGUUGCUAAGGUGUUGCUAAGCGGUUGCUAUGCAGUUGCUAUCAUUUCGAAAGUGGUUGCUAAGUGGUUGCUAGGCAGUUGCUAACGUUUUCUUAGUGGUUGCUAAGGUGUUGCUAAGUGGUUGCUAGGCAGUUGCUAUCGUUUCUAAAGUGGUUGCUAAGUGGUUGCUAGGCAGUUGCUAACCUUUUCCAGGUUGUUGCUAAGUGGUUGCUAGGCAGUUGUUAACAUUUUCCAGGUGGUUGCUAAGAUGUUGUUAAGUGGUUGC